CGAAAUAUAGCUUAACUAAAGCAUCUCGCUUACACCGAGAAAAUGUCUGUGAAAUCCAAACUAUUUCGA
rnacentral:tRNA from 1 species